GCACAGCGUGAGGUACCAUGGAUACAAGACGGCAAGAGAAAGCUCAUACAGUGGGAAAAGAUGGGUUUGGAAGCAGUGGGAGAUCUAGCCCUCAACGAAAUCCUAUCAGAAUUGGGACCAAAAGAAACAGCCAAAGUGGCAUGUGUUAACAAGCGCUUUAAGGCUUCGGCCACUGAGGAUUCUCUUUGGUCCAAAUUUUGUUCACGUGAUCUUGAUCUCUCUGCUCCUGUUGAUCCUCAAGGCAACCCUGUUCCUUCUUUCAAGUUUGCUUAUGGAUUAUGGCGUGAAGCUUUCAGUAUGUAUCCUUGGCCCCUUGUAAAACGAGUCAAAAGAUGUUGGGACAGACUCAAGAACUGGUUGACUGUAAAUUUUCCGGAAGCUGGGGCUACACUGCAGCAGGGUGCAUCAGAAACUCAAAUUCAGCAGUUGGAGGCAGUCUUGAAAGUGAAAUUGCCACUUCCUACAAGAGUUCUCUACCGCUUUUGUAAUGGUCAAGUUUUCCAAGACAAAGAUGCACCAAAAAGUGCUUUUGGAAAUACAUUGGGUCUAAUAGGUGGAUAUACUUUUUAUCAUCACUUGGUUAAUGUGUUCUUGUUACCAUUGGAUCGAGUUAUUAUGGAUACAAAACAGAUCAUGCGCCAGCUUGAGAUUUCUGGCAGUUUUAGAAGAAAAUUUAUUGUUGUGGCCAUGUCCUCCACGAUCCAGGAAAAGUUGUUUUUCCUCAAUUGUACAAAUGGCCAACUCUAUGUUGGUACCAGGAAUCUUGCAACAGAUCUAGAAAUGAUGCCUUGUGUGCCUACUGGACUGUUAAGGUCAGUGCAUGAUUUCAACAGUGACCAGCAGCAGGAUGCAAUGUUGCUUUGGUUAGAGGAGCAUGGACGUCGCUUACAAGAUGGCAUUAUCAAACUGCAGGAAGAAGGAAAUGUAAGAGCUAUCUGUCAAUUUCCAGAGGAGCCUCCUCUCUGUUCCACUGCUAUCACCAAUGGUGUAAAGGUUCGUGCCUCUGCUGUUUUUGUGCCAGAGGCAGUUGACCUGGAAGAUAGUUCUGAGAAAUACUGGUUCGCAUAUUCAAUUCGCAUGUCUCUCCUGCCUGAGGGAUGUUUUAUAAAUGGAAUGUACUUUGGCUCUUGCCAAUUGCAAAGGAGGCACUGGAUCAUUUACGCUAAUGGCAAUAUUGUAUCUGAUGUCAGUGGAGAGGCUGUAAUAGGCAAGUAUCCGCUGUUGCUUCCUGGUGAGAGAGAUUUUGUAUAUCAG
rnacentral:misc_RNA from 1 species